CUGAGAGACAGAACCCUCAACAUGUAAAAAGAUGGCGUCACCCUAAGUCAGGUGGUUACGUACUACGUAUCAAGAGUGUACUGUCAGAACACAAUAGAAGAAGUCCGUGUAUUUAGACCACAUGAAUAGAGGAGACGAUACGAAGUUUUAUCACGUAAAUUUCGAAGCACCAGUGAGUACUUCUGUACCACCACAUGAACGAUCAAGUCCUGAUUUACCAAAAGCUCAAAUGAUUCGAAGGUGUUGGAAAAAUAUCUCAAUUGUAAAAGUCCAAACGUAAAGUAGUACUGUUCUACAAGAGGUUCGGCUAGUAGGAAAAUAGAAUACAACGAUCGGAGUAGUCAUGAACCGUAACGUAAAGGAUGUUACCCUAGAUCGUAUGAGGUGGCCAUGUAGGGGUUGGGGAACAGCUCAAAGAGUGAUUUUUCUCACACUCGCACUCUCCAUUCUUUGGGGCAAUUGGUUAAGUCAAAAGGUUACUCAGGUAGUAUAGAUGGAUAGUAUCGUGGAGGAGUAAACGAUAAGGUUCAUCACCUAAGAAAACGGUACGUGUAAGUAUAAAACGAAACGUGUAGAAAAUUCCUCCGUAUAACCAGUAGUAAUAAUCACGAACAACUUUGAGUGGUUGGUAAAAACGAAAAUAAAAGUAUAUAAUCUCGAAACCAACCGUGGAAAGUAAGAAAACAACCCGUCUCUUUUCCUUUCUUUUUUCUUUUUUUCCUUUUUUUCUUUUUCCUUUUCCUUUUUUCUGUUUUCUCCAUCAUUUUUUUCUUCUCCAUUUCAUCUUAUCCUAUCCACGGUACAAAAGAGAGAUAGUUCGAGAGUCAGAAGUAAAUCUCGCUCUACUCAGAAUAACGAAUCCGAAAUAUGAAUAGUGAAAAGAAUGGGUAAAUAAGUAGUAAAUCUCGAAUCGUGAGUAUCGAUUAAGACAAGUAGAACACCCUACCAAAUAAACGUAUACGAAUCAUCCUGAAGUAUAGGUAAUACGUAUAGAACCGUUUAGGGAUGAAGGGUACGUUGUAGCUUUGGCUCCUGUAGUGUGUACGGAACCCCAGUGAGACGCAAUGUACCCGGAGAGAAAAGGAACAGCUCAGUGAGGGUAGGAAAGUGUAGUAAAAGAUUACUAGCCUUUGUGCUCCGAAGAACCAAGUACCACUAACGAAUGAACUGAUACACUAGGCACGAAGGGUUCUGUACUUAACCCUCGAGUUCCACCCAACUUAGGAACCUUACUACACAGAUUUUUCUGAAACAUGUACUUCGUAUAUACCAUGAUCUCGAUGUCGAAACUUACCUGUGAAUUCUCAGUUGAAGGAGUUCUAGGUGCUGGGACUAGUGAACUGGUAAAUGGGGACUGCGUGCUCGACACUCCUCCCGUUCUACAGCGCCCGCCACCACGGCGACCUGCUGCUUUUGGAUGAAGGGGUACGGACGGAGCAAACGUUGCGACCGCAGCGUAGUAUAGGCUGUAGUAGUAAAAGGUGUCGAGUCCGGAGGAUUCAACGAAGCAGUCGUUGGACGCUCCAAAGAGGAUGUGUUGAUGGUACCCUCGGGGUCUAGCACAGGGGCGGCCCGUUCCGAGUACCGAGAUCCUAGGUGCUGUGACUAGUGAAGUAACCAAGACCACCUGUUGGUUAUCCAAGGGACCUUAACGGCUCCUCUAAGUGAGUUACUUGGCGAAAGUCGUCUUGGCAACCCUUAAAAUGAGACCACACUGUUGCGCAACUUAGCGAGUGAUUAUCGGGCUCAACGUUAAAGUACCUCACAGACUUCGAACUUCAAAAGGAACACAAAUACAUUAAUAAUACUAGACUUUUUGUUUAAGUAACGCCACAGACCAAAUCAAAUCAAAAUACAGUGUUGAAGACGAAGACAUCGUUCCUAACUGUUUAAGAAACAUAUGGUUGACUCG
rnacentral:rRNA from 1 species